CGGUCUCCUCGCGACGAUAUGUUGGUUACCCCGUCAGGCCCGGAAGGGAGCAGCGG
rnacentral:SRP_RNA from 13 species